rnacentral:sRNA from 1 species
UUCUUUGGCACAACCAAAACCGGAGCGC